rnacentral:rRNA from 1 species
UACGUAGGGGGCUAGCGUUGUCCGGAAUCAUUGGGCGUAAAGCGCGCGUAGGCGGCCAGAUAAGUCCGGUUUGAAAGUCACAGGCUCAACCUGUGAAUGCCGCUGGAAACUGUCUGGCUAGAGUCCGGAAGGGGCGAGUGGAAUUCCUGGUGUAGCGGUGAAAUGCGCAGAUAUCAGGAGGAACACCAAUGGCGAAGGCAGCUCGCUGGAACGGUACUGACGCUGAGGCGCGAAAGCGUGGGGAGCGAACAGG